rnacentral:rRNA from 1 species
UACAGAGGUGGCAAGCGUUGUUCGGAAUUACUGGGCGUAAAGGGCGCGUAGGCGGCCUUCUAAGUCAGACGUGAAAUCCCCCGGCUUAACCUGGGAACUGCGUCUGAUACUGGGAGGCUUGAGUAUGGGAGAGGGAUGUAGAAUUCCAGGUGUAGCGGUGAAAUGCGUAGAUAUCUGGAGGAAUACCGGUGGCGAAGGCGGCAUCCUGGACCAUAACUGACGCUGAGGCGCGAAAGCUAGGGGAGCAAGCGGG